CUGAAUUUCCUAGGGGGCGUCAAAGCCUACCGAAGAAUAUCAAACUCCGAAUGCCGCGUAAUCGAUUAUCGGGAGUCAGACUGCACGAGAUAAGUUGGGCGGUCAAAAGGGAAAGAGCCCAGACCUACAGUUAAGGUCCCAAAGUGCGCGUUAAGUGGAAAAGGAUGUGGGAUUUCGAAGACAACCAGGAUGUUGGCUCAGAAGCAGCCAUACAUUCAAAGAGUGCGUAAUAGCUCACUGGUCGAGAGGUCCUGCGCCGAAAAUGUCCGGGGCUGAAACGCGCCACCGAAACUAAGGAAUCUGAAAAGAUUGGUAGAGGAGCAUUGCAUGCGGGAAGAAGCAGUACCGGAAGGAGCUGUGGACUGCAUGGAAGAGAGAAUGCCGGAAUGAGUAGCGAGAUAGAGGUGGGAAUCCUCUAGGCCGAAUAUCCAAGGUUUCCAGGGUAAAGCUGAUCUGCCCUGGGUGAGUCGGGACCUAAGGUGAGGGCGAGAGCCGUAGCCGAUGGACAACAGGUUGAUAUUCCUGUACUGCAGUAUGACAGAACUGUGGGGACACGUAAGGAGAGCGGGAGCCGGGAAUGGAAAGCCCGGUACAAGCGAGGUACCAGUCACAUAGGAAAAUCCGUGUGGCAAUGGGAAGACGUGAUGUGGAGUGAAUUUUAGUAACGAAGCCCGUGAGCCAUGCGUCAAGAAAAGCCGCUAUCGUUCAUAUUGUACCCGUACCGUAAACCGACACAGGUGGAUGAGGAGAGAAUCCUAAGGCCGGCGGAAGAAGUAUUGCCAAGGAACUCGGCAAAAUGGCCCCGUAACUUAGGGAGAAGGGGUGCCUGCGAGAGCAGGCCGCAGAGAAUAGGCUCAAGCAACUGUUUAGCAAAAACACAGGUCUAUGCGAAACCGAAAGGUGAGGUAUAUGGGCUGACGCCUGCCCGGUGCUGGAAGGUUAAGAGGAGAGGUUAGCGCAAGCGAAGCUUUGAAUUUAAGCCCCAGUAAACGGCGGCCGUAACUAUAACGGUCCUAAGGUAGCGAAAUUCCUUGUCGGGUAAGUUCCGACCCGCACGAAAGGCGUAAUGAUUUGAGCGCUGUCUCGACAAUGCAUCCGGUGAAAUUGAAGUGCCAGUGAAGAUGCUGGCUACCCGCGCCAGGACGGAAAGACCCCAUGGAGCUUUACUCCAGUUUGGCACUGGGGUCCGGUGUUGCAUGUACAGGAUAGGUGGGAGGCUGAGAAACGGUAACGUCAGUUGCCGCGGAGCCGCUGUUGGGAUACCACCCUUGUGAUAUUGGGCUUCUAACCAGCCGCCGUAAUCCGGCGGUGGGACAAUGCCAGGCGGGGAGUUUGACUGGGGCGGUCGCCUCCGAAAGGGUAUCGGAGGCGCCCAAAGGUUCCCUCAGAAUGG
rnacentral:rRNA from 1 species